rnacentral:rRNA from 1 species
GACGAACGCUGGCGGCGUGGAUUAGGCAUGCAAGUCGAACGGUAUCAUCCUUUCGGGGGUGAGAGAGUGGCGAACUGGUGAGUAACACGUAGGUUAUCUACCCUCAAGACGGGGACAACCCAGGGAAACUUGGGCUAAUACCGGAUGUGAGCAACUUUUAGUUGUUUGAAAGGUGGCGUAAGCUGUCGCUUGGGGAUGAGCCUGCGUCCUAUUAGUUAGUUGGUGAGGUAACGGCUCACCUAGGCAAUGAUAGGUAGGCGGCCUUAACGGGUGGUCGCCCACACUGGGAUUGAGAUACGGCCCAGACUCCUACGGGAGGCAGCAGUCGAGAAUAGUCUACAAUGGUCGGAAGACUGAUAGUGCGACGCCGCGUGAACGAUGAAUCCCUUCGGGGUGUAAAGUUCUUUUAUAUGUGAGCAGUGCUUCUUAUAUUAACAGUAUGGGGAGAGAGAUAUUAGCAUAUGAAUAAGCAACGGCUAAACUCCGUGCCAGCCAGCCGCGGU